rnacentral:lncRNA from 1 species
GCACUGGUAGGCCUACAUGUAUCCCUGAGUUGUGAACGUUAGCGAGGAGCUGUGACUGGUAAUGCCAUCAUACGGGACAUUAAUAUCCGGGAGCUACUCAACACAAGGUGAUCCAGGGAUAAAACCCGGGACUGGGAUAAGCCACGAAAAAACGAAUAGAAAAUUGGUCUUAACGUUUAGGCUUAAGUUUAGGAUGGAUUCGCCUUAAUCCACUUCAGUGUAGUGAUGGUGAACUGUACCUUGUAUAUUCGAAAACAAAGGAAUAACAAGAAGCAUAUCAAGAUCAACUUCUUUGGUCUGGAGUCAAGUGACCACUUACGGCUCAACAGAAGAAAUAACCACAAAUUUACGUUGCCUAGGAAAUUACGACCGAAUCUGUGGACAAUGAAUCACUGGAAUGCUUACUGAAAAACAACGUAUUUUCAUACAAAAUGUAAUAUUACAGAAACCAAAGGCCCUUGAGUAACCCGAAUUGAAACAGGGGUGACUUUUAAAUGCAGAACGGUCCAAUGAAAAAGUGGAAAGCCAUCACAUUAUAGGUCUCCACUGAAGCAGGAAGUUGCUGAACGCACAAAAAUAUUUGUUUGUGGAAAAACGCAAU